rnacentral:lncRNA from 1 species
GGUAACACUGUCAAAAAAAUUUCAUGUUCAAGGAACUCUCAGAGGCAGUUCACCACAUGGGAAGCAAAAAGGAUGAAAUGCUGGAAGCUGAUCCCAAAUUUGAAAGGAGAAUGACAGUUAGCCAAGGCACAGAGAAGAUGCUUCCUCUAUGUCAUAACUUUAAACAACGUGAAGCAAAAGCAACGAAUAAACACCAGGAGGCAUACAUAUACAAAGUAAAGUCCAUUUGAGGACCCGCUGAUAAUGUGGCUGUCUGAAUGCCAGGAAGAAAGGUCUCAGAAGAAACAAAC